UGUAAUGAUGCCACUGUUCUCCAGCCCAGGCAACAGAUCGAGACCUUGUUUAAAAAAAAAAAAGUCCAGUUCUGUAGUCACUAUGGCUGAAUGCCUCCUGCGGCACGUGUGAGAUACAAACCCCAUUUUAUAUUUAGCUACUUAUCCCGCAUACACCCAGCACAGGCAUCUGGUUGCACAUUUUUCCUCUCUCUCGAGCCCAAUUGCAUGGCAGCCUUCAGAGUGUGCAAAGGCCACCUGCUGCAUAGCUUUUCAUGGGUGGCUGCAAUGUCGCCAUUAAAGGUUCCCUUCUAGAAUGCAGCUUUUCCUGAGCUGGUGCCAGAUUCGGUCCCUAAACAAAUGGCAUGAAGGGCUUUUGGAAAUUUUUCCAUCUUGUUGGGAGAAAGUGAGAAGAUAAAGCCAGAAGUCACCCAGAAGUGAAAAAGCCCCAGAGGGGCUGGAGACGGUGCCUUCUUGGCUGUGCCACCCCCACACUGCCCGCCACCUGCUUGCUAGGGCCUCUGAGUUUAGUCUUUGAAAAAAAUUUCACUGUGAGGUUUUAGAGGCAUUAGGCUUCUAGAAAUGAAAGCCAGGUGUUUUGUGGGGGUUUUUUUGAUUGUUUGUUUUUUUGGAUUGGUUUGGUUUGGUUUUGGUUUUUUAAUUUACUUAUUAGAAGUUAUACCAUACUCUUCAUAUAUUCUAAGCGUAUAAUCCUAGCACUCUUCAAUAUAUUCAGUAGAUCUAACCCAAUUAUUGACCUCCACGCGCUUACCUGCUCACACAAUGAAGGGAUAUAGACAAGCUGUCAGUAGCCCCAACCCAAAAGAAAAAUAAGUAAUUACUAAAGUACAAAAAGAGACUGUGCUCACUUUGUAUACUUACUAAUUCCCUUUAUUUUGCUGGGAACUAUUUUGAGUUCUCAAAUCCAGAAAUAUAUCAUCGAUUACGAUAUCUUACAGGCAAAUUAAACUAAGAUGAGUCGGUGCCACCACCCCCAGAGCAGGCAGGCUGUGGCAUGUGUUCUCAAGGUGAGGUCGGGUGUGUGGAGAACGAACGUGGAGAAGUGAGUCAGGAGAAGCCCAGGCAGCCAGGGUUAAAAACAUGCUCUUAACUUAAAAAGAAAAUCACAUUGAGUCUUACUGUGUGUGACCGGUCUAUUCAUUUGCUAAGGAUGCUAUGACAAAGAAGCACAGCCUAGGAGGCUUAAGCAAUAGAAACUUAUUGUCUAACAACUCUGGAGGCUGAAAGUCCAAGAUCAAGGUGUCCACAGGGCCAUGCUCCUUCUGAAGGUGUCAAGGAUGGAUUUGCUCCAUGCCUUCCCUCGUUCCAGUGGUUGCUGACAAUCUCUGGCGUUCUUUGGCUUGUGAAAACAUCACCCCAAUCUCUGCCUUCACCUUCACAUGGCAUUCCUCCUGUGUGCCUGUGUCCAAAGUUCUGCUUAUAAUAAGGCCACCAGUCCUUGGAUUAGGGACCCACCUAAUCCAAAUAAUAACCUCAUUUGUGAACUUGAUAGUAAAGACCCUCUCUCCAGAUAAGGUCACAUUCACAGGUACCCAGGGUUUGGGCUCCAACAUAUAAAUUUUUGUGUGACACAGGGUCAACCCAUUAAAACUUGUCUUUUUUAAAAAAAGAAAUGGGAUGAUUUGUAUGUUACUUAAGCUAGAGAAUUCAGGAAACAACAGGGUUUGUCAGCAUCACAGUCAGUCCCUUGCUGAGCUGCUUAGCAUGGUGUCACAGUCCCCUGAAAUGAACUGGGAGGAGCACCUGCUACCUGCUCCUUCCUAUUUUAAAUCUGAAGCAGAGAUUAUAACUCAUGAGUAUGGAACAAAAGCUGGUAUCCCUUCACUGCUGAGCCGUGUUCUUAUUUUUGUCUCCAAUCCUAGUUCCAAAUUACUCCUCACUAUGACUUCGAGGUCCUCAGAAACCUGGAACCAUGGACAACUUACUGUGUUCAAGUUCAAGGGUUUCUUCCCGAUCGGAACAAAACCGGCGAGUGGAGCAAGCCUGUCUGUGAGCAGACCACUGAGGACGACACGAUCCCCUCCUGGCUGGUCGCUGUCAUCCUCAUCGCGUCUGUCUUUGUGGUCUUCCUGGUGCUCCUCGGCUGUUUCGCCCUGCUGUGGUGCAUUUACAAGAAGACAAAGUACGCCUUCCCACCCCGGAACUCCCUUCCACAGCACCUGAAAGAGAUGGCCCAGCCUGGCCCCAGAACCCUGUGUCUGGGUGGCGAUCUCUUGGGAUCUGCCGUAAACACCGCCUAGCAUCUUUCCCACCGCGGACAGUUGAGAGAUCUGUUCCGUUAGCACGUUGUCAUCGAUAGGUAUUGCACCAGUCUUGAGGUGGGGUGGGCUGCUUGUCCGUAGCCCGUACCUUCUGUGGGGCCCUUUCCUGCUCGGGGCCCCCUCAGAGCCGCAGCCUUCCGUGUCACUUGGCAAACACACCGGAGAGUCUUCCUUCGUGGUGGUGGGAGAGGUGGGCACAGUCAUCGGUUCUUUAAAGGGGAUGUCCUGGCAAGCCUCACUCCGGGGGACCCCUCAAACGUCACUGAGGUGGCAGGUCCCUGCACCAUCACAGGAUGAGUGUCCUACCUCCGCAGGGUGCGUGCCUUACCGAUGCCUUGCCACUUCUUGCACUUCUGGUCCUAUUAAGGUAUUCCAACUGGUCAACUGAUACAGGCCACCUCUGGGAAGGACACAGAACCUUGGCCAAGGCACCUGCCUUAUGUAAAAGGCACCAGCUAGAAAGCGCCUCAGCUGUGAGCCAUUUCAGCUGCUGGCAUUCCUGGAAGCUGGGGAGACAAGCGCCCCAACAUGAGGGGAUGUGGGUAGCACAGCAUCCACUGUGGAUAGAAGUGGCCACAUGACCACAGGCAAGUGUCUCAGAGCAGCUAGAACCUUCUAAAAAAGAGUGCCAGCACGACUACAGCACCGGGGUGAACUGAGAAUCCUCUAGAUUGAACUGCAUAUUUUAUGUGAGCUUUUUGAGAAGCCACAGCUGCAGCAGGAAGAACAAAGAGGGCCGGGCCCUUCGGUCUGGGCAGAAGGUGUUUUGUUAACUGAGAACCAAGAGGAAGCAAAACUGUUCACCUGCUAUUUUUGCUUCUGGCUUCGCCAUCAAAGAGACUGGUCAG